rnacentral:rRNA from 1 species
UACGGAGGGUGCGAGCGUUGUUCGGAAUCAUUGGGCGUAAAGGGCGUGUAGGUGGUCUGUUAAGUCAUGUGUGAAAGCCCUCAGCUUAACUGGGGAAGUGCGCAUGAAACUGACAGGCUAGAGUACCGAAGAGGAAGGUGGAAUUCCCGGUGUAGCGGUGAAAUGCGUAGAUAUCAGGAGGAACACCGGCGGCGAAGGCGGCCCUCUGGAUCGUUGCUGACGCUGAGACGCGAAAGCGUGGGGAGCAAACAGG